rnacentral:rRNA from 1 species
AGCGAACGUUUGCGGCGGGCUUAACACAUGCAAGUCGAACGGGCUGUUCCUUCGGGGGCAGUCAGUGGCGCACGGGUGCGUAACACGUAGGUAAUCAACCCUCUGGUUGGGGAUAACACUUCGAAAGGAGUGCUAAUACCCGGUAUGGCGCAGCGGUCUUCGGAUCGCGGCGAGAAAGACCCGCAAGGGUUGCCAGAGGACGAGCCUGCGGCCCAUCAGCUAGUUGGCGAGGUAACGGCUCACCAAGGCGAAGACGGGUAGCUGGUCUGAGAGGAUGAUCAGCCACACUGGAACUGAGACACGGUCCAGACUCCUACGGGAGGCAGCAGUGGGGAAUAUUGCGC